AACGGUCUAUACCUGCGGUACCUGCGGAGGGAUCGUUAGUGAACGCCCUCACGGGCUUAUAACUAUUCCAAACCUCUGUGAACCGUGCCCUUCGGGGCUAUUUUACAAACAUGGUGUAAUGAACGUCAUAUAUCAUAACAAAACAAAACUUUUAACAACGGAUCUCU
rnacentral:misc_RNA from 1 species